rnacentral:rRNA from 1 species
GUGAACGCUGGCGGUAGGCCUAACACAUGCAAGUCGAACGGCAGCACAGUAAGAGCUUGCUCUUACGGGUGGCGAGUGGCGGACGGGUGAGGAAUACAUCGGAAUCUACUUUUUCGUGGGGGAUAACGUAGGGAAACUUACGCUAAUACCGCAUACGACCUACGGGUGAAAGCAGGGGAUCUUCGGACCUUGCGCGAUUGAAUGAGCCGAUGUCGGAUUAGCUAGUUGGCGGGGUAAAGGCCCACCAAGGCGACGAUCCGUAGCUGGUCUGAGAGGAUGAUCAGCCACACUGGAACUGAGACACGGUCCAGACUCCUACGGGAGGCAGCAGUGGGGAAUAUUGGACAAUGGGCGCAAGCCUGAUCCAGCCAUACCGCGUGGGUGAAGAAGGCCUUCGGGUUGUAAAGCCCUUUUGUUGGGAAAGAAAAGCAGCAGGUUAAUACCCCGCGGUUCUGACGGUACCCAAAGAAUAAGCACCGGCUAACUUCGUG